rnacentral:rRNA from 1 species
GACGAGGUGCACAAACGUUAUUCGGAAUUACUGGGCGUAAAGCGCGUGUAGGCGGCCAUCUAAGUCGGGCGUGAAAUCCCACGGCUCAACCGUGGAAGUGCACUCGAAACUGGAUGGCUAGAGUCCUGGAGAGGAAGGUGGAAUGCUUGGUGUAGAGGUGAAAUUCGUAGAUAUCAAGCGGAACACCGGUGGCGAAGGCGGCCUUCUGGACAGUGACUGACGCUGAGACGCGAAAGCGUGGGGAGCAAACAGG